CGGCCGUUUAACGGUCGUUGCUCCAGGUGCUCUCUGAGGUGCGGAGCGUUUGUGGGGCUGUGCAGGACGCGGUCAGCAGGACGGAGCCGGCAGGGAGUCACAAGCAUGUUCUGAAAUCAGCCUGCCCAUCCAUUACAGAAUGGAGCUGGGCCUGAGUCUUUUGGUGAAUUAAAUCUUCAUUGAUGAAUCUUGUCUGGCACAGCUGAGAAGCCUUGAUGAUGACUUAAACCACUCCUAUGAAGCACCAUGGCAGUUCUUUUCUUUUCAAGUGAAAAAUAGUAAUUUUCCACAGGAAGCAGGCCAGAGACUGCUGUUCCCGGAGAAGAAUGUGCCCAAAACAGAAGAACUGGUCACUUGGGAAGAUCUGCCUUUUCGCAGUGGCUCACAGAGCUAAUGGCUGGCCCAGAGACAGUCUGCAUUCCUGCUGUUCUUGGAGUCAGCUGUGCAUGCAUUGCUAAAAGAAGAACUCUGAAGCAUUGGUUGUUCUGCUCAGUGUUUUUCUACUACUGCAGACUAUUCCAUAAGGCUUACAUGGGGCUUAGUCCUGACAGCACAGUGACAGUAUCAGUAGAGUGCUUCUUUUGCACCAUGAAGAACUUGAGAGCAUCAAGGCUCAGGUCCUACAACAAGUCCACUCAAACAUGGGUCAGACAAAUGUCCCAGUGUGGUUCUUCUGUCACCCUGUCACUACACUGCCUCUAACUCUUCAGCCUCUCUGAGAUGCCCUUCUCCUUGUUUAAUCCCAUGACCUUCUUGGUAGACAGGAGGCAUGUUUUUUAACAAGAGUUGAUUGCAUAGCCAAAAACCACCAUCCCACAAUAUAGAGAAAGGGUAGCCUUGGCUAUCUGCCCAUCCUGGUUCAGUGGCAAAGUAAAGGCAGCAAUUAGAGGUAAAAAAGCAGUAUAUGAGAAAUUGAAAAAGGGAAGUAGAUAGCAAUUCAUAUGAAUCAAAAGUUAUGAAGUGUAGAAAAUCGAUAAGCGAAGUGAAGGACAUUGGAAGAAAAUCCAUGGCUGGAAGGGCUAAGGGCCAUAAAGAAGAGUUUUAUAAAUAUUUAAGAAAUAGAAGAAAAAUGACCAUUUGUAGGGGGACUCUUUUAUGUUGUAGAUGAUUAAACUAUUAAUAGAAUGAGGAAGUGAGUAUUUCUGUCCUGCAUUUAGAAUAAGAAGUGUUAUGUACCUGUCUUAUAUGAAGAUGGUGAGACGCCUUACUCACUUGUUUCCACAAGAAGGUAUCAGACAUCUGUUAGGGACAGACUUGAGAGGAAUCAGUAGGCCUUGAUACCUUGGCUUUUAGAAUUUUAAAAUUGCUGACAGAGGCCCACCUAGGGCAGGUAAAUAAUUGCUAAGGGUAGGUAUUAUUGAGAAAUUCGAGAUGCCUGGAAAAGUUCUAAUGAAGCAUGUACUGUCCCUGUUUGAUAACUGCCACUGAUGUGAACCAGAGUAAAAUAAAGGAAGAAGAAAAAGUUCAAUUAAAACUUAAGAGGUGGUAUUACAACUACUGCCGGUCUGCACAAUACUUUGGAAUGGAGGUCUUGUCAAACAAACCCGAUUUCAUUCUCUGAUGAGAUUACAAGUUUGGUUGAUAAAGUUAACUGCAUAGAUAUAAUAGACUUAGUCUUUUAUAUGGCACUUGGCUUAGCACCACAGGACAUUCUCAUUAAAAAAUUAGCACCAUGCAAUAUCAAUAAAGCACACUUUCAAUUGAUUAGUUACUGGCCAGAUGACAGAUUUCAAAGUAGCUAUCAGUGGUGAAUCAUCCCUGGAGGAAGAGAUUUCUGGUGGAAAUCCACAGGGAUCAGUAAAACAACAGAUGCUACCCAACGUUUUUAUCAAUUAUCUGUAAGUGAUUUGGUUCUUUCUUUCUUUAACUUCUUUCUUUCCAAUUGCUGUUGCUAAGAUGUGUGGAUGACAAAGCAGAACAGAAAGGUAUGAAACAGAGUAGCCUCACAGAGCAUUCUGGACCACCUGCUUGUACUUGAAGUAACACCUAUAGCCCAGGAAUGCAACUAUGAAAUAGGAACUAUAUCAUGUCAAGCUGCCAGGUGCAAAAGGACCUGGGAUCAUAGGACACAGCUCAGAAAAGCACUAUCUGCAGGCUGAUUGAACUCAGGCAAACUGUCACUUGGGAUAUGGUACCUUUCUUUUCUUUCUAAAUUGAGAGAAUGAUCAAUUUUUAGAGACAACAGCAGGUGUGGAUUUCCCCAUAUUUAAGGCCUUCAGCUUCAUACUGAGUGCCCUUCUGGAAAGUGCCUUUAGCUGAACACAAAUACUGCUGGCCUGCAAGGCCUGCAAGGGUGCCACUGCUGGCCUGCAAGGGUGAACUGCGUAACCACACUGCAGUUUGGCAAGAUCAGAUGUGAGACAGUGAGACUCAAGGUAUGUAGAGGGAGCCCUCGUCACACAAUAGCUUCAGCAGUUUCCCUUCGGAAGGAACUCCUGAGCAAAUAUAUGUCUGGUACAACAUCAGUACAGCACACACAACCUUGUGCCUCCCAUGGGCACAGGCUUCCAGCCUGCUGGCCUCAGGGCUGUGAACCUCCCCUCACUGAGGUAGAGGCUGAGGGCCCUCAUCUCUCUCAUCCUCUCCCAGAAAGAAACAAAACAGGCAACAUCCGGCUUCUGCCAGCACAUCUUAUCCUCUACCAUUCAGACGAGGGGUGGGAGGGGGGGAAUUCAGUGUCAGUGGUCACUGAACACCUACAGCAGCAGACCAAGCAUCCUUAACCCCACAGGAUGGUUGUUUUUUGUUUGUUUGUUGUUUGUUUUUUUGUGGGAUCUAAAACUAAGAUUAGAAUUUCCCUAUUUGCUAUAACUGCCCAAUGCUACUUGAGUGGAUGCAGGCUUGGCCUGCAUCCCUUUAUCUAAACUCAUGGCACAAGGCCUUUCUUUUAGUGCUAGAAUCCAGCCCACCUCUGGCAGGUCCCACUCCCCAGUUCAGGGCCAGUUUGCAAAUUGAGGCCAUAGUAGCAGCAGGCCAUACUUCUCUCUCCUCACCAGCUUAGGGAAACCUCCCACCACCUCCCUCAUCUCUUGCGGGUGACAGAGAAAUGCAGGGAUGCUGCACGACACAGGCAAAGCACAGACUCAAGCACUGGGUCCUAAGCUCCUCCCAAGCCAGAUAACAGCA